UCGAGAAUCUUGGGCAAUGCGCGAAAGCGUGACCCAGCAAUGCCGCGUGUAUGAUGAAGGCCCUCGGGUCGUAAAGUACUGUCUCCCGUGACGAAAUUUGACGGUAGCGGGGAAGGAAGCCACGGCUAACUACGUGCCAGCAGCCGCGGUAAUACGUAGGUGGCGAGCGUUGUUCGGAUUUAUUGGGCGUAAAGGGUCUGUAGGAGGUUUGUUAAAUACGGGGUGAAAUCCCGAAGCUCAACUUCGGAAUUGCCUUGUAGACUGACGGACUGGAGUACCGGAGAGGUAAGCGGAAUACCAGGUGUAGCGGUGGAAUGCGUAGAUAUCUGGUAGAACACCAAAAGCGAAGGCAGCUUGCUGGACGGAAACUGACUCUGAAAGACGAAAGCAUGGGGAGCAAACAGG
rnacentral:rRNA from 1 species